CUCGGCCCAGUCAGUUCAGCUGCACCACGUGUAACCAGAGCCCCGUGAAGAGCUGGGUCCCAACCCCCUCCCCGGCUCCGUGAUCCCCUGUGGGCCGCAGCCUCGACCAAGCUAUGAUGAUGGGGAAGGUUCCCUCGUUCUACCCCGGCUCCACAGUGAGCUCCGCUCUGCCCAGCUACAUCGCUCUCUGCCUCGCUCUACAGGUUCACAGGCUGGAGUCAGCAACUGGACCUGACCAUCCAAUUGUUGCCUCCCUAGGCGGGGAGGCCGUCCUGCCCUGCCACCUCUCCCCCAGGCUGAGCGCUGAGAACAUGGAGGUGAGAUGGUUCCCAUUCAAGUUCUCUGCAGUGGUGCACCUGUACCGUGAUAGGCAGGAUCAGUAGGCAGAGCAGAUGCCAGAAUAUCCAGAAAGAACCGAGCUCUUGAAAGACGACAUCACCGAUGGGAGAGUAUCUCUGAGAAUACAGGCUAUCCAAGCCUCGGACAAUGGGCACAAUAUGUUAUACUCAGUCUGGUGCCUCUUUUGAAGAGGCUUUAUUGGAAUUACAGGUGGCUGGUCAGUAACUUGUUGUGAUACUUGGCCGUCUUCAACAGGGUAAUAAGUGGAGUCAGAUGGUUCAUUGUGAGAUGACACCUGAUUUGUCUCAUUAUAGUGGGUCGGUAGCUCUGCUCUA